AUACUUACUUGGCAGGGGUGAUUCCAUGAUCACGAAGGUGGUUUCCCCAGGGUGUGGCUUAUUCAUUGUGGUCAGGAUAGGCUAACCCUUGGGAUUUCCCCAAAUUCGGGGAAACUCAACUGUAUAAUUUGUGAUAGUGAGAGGACUGUGUUUCACACUCUCCCC